rnacentral:lncRNA from 1 species
GGGGUAUCUGGCUUUGGGGUCGUGGGUACUGGGGGUAACUGGUUUUGGGGUUGUGGGUAUUGGGGGCAUCAGUUAUUGGGGGUAUCUGGUUUUGGGGUUUCAGUUAUUGGGGGUAUCUGGUUUUGGGGUUGUGGGUAUUGGGAGUAUCAGUUAUUGGGGGUAUCUGGUUUUGGGGUCGUGGGUAUUGGGGGUAUCUGGUUUUGGGGUUGUGGGUAUUGGAGGUUUCAGUUAUUGGGGUAUCUGGUUUUGGGGUCAUGGAUAUUGGGGGUCUCAGUUAUUGGGGUUAUCUGGUUUUGGGGUCGUGGGUAUUGGGGGUAUCAGUUAAAGGGGGGAUCUGGUUUUGGGGUCAUGGAUAUUGGGGGUUUCAGUUACUGGGGGUAUCUGCUUUUGGGGUCGUGGGUAUUGGGGGUAUCAGUUAUUGGGGUAUCUGGUUUUGGGGUCGUGGGUAUUGGGAGUAUCAGUUAUUGGGGUAUCUGGUUUUGGGAUCGUGGGUAUUGGGGGUAUCAGUUAAAGGGGGGAUCUGGUUUUGGGGUCAUGGAUAUUGGGGGUAUCUGUUUUUUAGGGGUAUCUGGUUUUGGGGUUGUGUGUAUUGGGGGUAUCAGUUAUUGGGGUAUCUGGUUUUGGGGUCGUGGGUAUUGGGGGUAUCAGUUAUUGGGGUAUCUGGUUUUGGGGUCGUGGGUAUUGGGGGGUCAUGGUUAUUGGUGGUAUCUCGUUAUUGGGGUAGUGGUUAUGGGGAGUAUCUGUUACUGGAGGUCAUGGUUAUUGGGGGUAUCUGUUUUUGGGGUCCCGGUUAUUGGGUUUCGGGAUUAUCCGUCAUUAAAGAUCAUGAUAAUUGGGGUUAUCUAUUUGUGGGUCAUGGUUAUUGGGUGAUCAGUUAUUAGGGUCACUGGUUAUUGGGGUUAUGAGCAUUGGGAGUAUCAGCUAUUGGGGUUAUCUAUUGGGGGGUCAUGGUUAUUGGGGUGAUCAGUUAUUAGGGUCACGGGUUAUUGGGGUUAUGAGCAUUGGGAGUAUCAGCUAUUGGGGUUAUCUGUUGGGGGGUCGCGGUUAUCGGGGCUGUUAGGUAUUGGGGUGCUGGUUAUUGGGGUUAUCUGUUCUUGCAGUUGUGGUUUGGGGGGUUAUGGUUGUUGGGGUUAUCAGUUGCUGGAGGCCAUGGUCUUUGGGGUUAUUAGGGUUAUUGGGGUCACGGUUAUUUGGGGUAUCUAUAUUGGGGGUAUCAGUUACUGGGGGUCAUAUUAUUGGGGCUAUUUGGGGUCUCCGUUAUUUGGGGUAUUAGUUAUUGGAGGUAUCCAUCUUUGGGGUUAUGGUUAUUGGGGUGAUCAGUGAUUGGAGGUCAUAGUUACUGGGAUGAUCAGUUGGUAGGGUUAUUGGGGUCAUGGUUAUUGGGGGUAUCAAUAUGUUUUGGGGCUAUCGGUUAUCGGGGUGAUCAGUUAUUGGAGGUCACAGGUAUUGGGGUGAUCGGGUAUUGGGGUUACUGGUUAUUGGGAUCAUUGUUAUUGGGGUUAUCGGGUAUUGGGAAUAGCAGCUGUUGGCAUUAUCGGGGUGAUCAGUUAUUAGGGUUACUGGUUAUUGGGGUCAUGGUCAUUGGGGUUAUCUGUUUUUGGGGUCAUGACAGUGGGGGCUAUUGGGUAUUGAGGAUAUUGGUUGUUGGGGUGAUCAGGUAUUGGGGUUAUCAGGUAUUGGGGUUGUGAUUAUUGGGGUGAUCAGGUAUUGGGGUAUCAGUUAUUGGGGUUGUGAUUAUUGGGGUUAUUGGGUAUUGGGGUAUCAGUUAUUGGGGUUGUGAUUAUUGGGGUUAUCAGGUAUUGGGGUUGUAUUGGGGUUGUGAUUAUUGGGGUGAUCAGGUAUUGAGGUUAUCGGGUGUUGGGGUUGUGAUUAUUGGGGUGAUCAGGUAUUGGGGUUGUGAUUAUUGGGGUUAUCGGGUAUUGGGGUUAUCAGGUACUGGGGUUGUGAUUAUUGGGGUUAUCGGGUAUUGGGGUUAUCAGGUAUUGGGGUUGUGAUUAUUGGGGUUAUCGGGUAUUGGGGUUAUCAGGUAUUGGGGUUGUGAUUAUUGGGGUUAUCGGGUAUUGGGGUUGUGAUUAUUGGGGUGAUCAGGUAUUGGGGUUGUGAUUAUUGGGGUUAUCGGGUAUUGGGGUAUCAGUUAUUGGGGUUGUGAUUAUUGGGGUUAUCGGGUAUUGGGGUGAUCAGGUAUUGGGGUUGUGAUUAUUGGGGUUAUCAGGUAUUGGGGUGAUCAGGUAUUGGGGUUAUCGGUAUUGGGGUUGUGAUUAUUGGGGUGAUCAGGUAUUGGGGUUGUGAUUAUUAGGGUUAUCAGGUAUUGGGGUAUCAGUUAUUGGAGUUGUGAUUAUUGGGGUAGUGAUUAUUGGGGUUAUCAGGUGUUGGGGUAUCAGUUAUUGGGGUUGUGAUUAUUGGGGUUAUUGGGUAUUGGGGUAUCAGUUGGUGGGGUUAUCAGUUACUGCAGUCGUGGUUAUUGGGAUCAUCGUGGUUGGAGUUCUCACUUAGUGGGUUUAUUGAUUUUUGGGGCCACGGUUGUCGGGGUUUUUGGGGUUAUCAGUUAUCGGAGGUCACAGUUCUUGGGAUUAUCAGUUAUUGGUGUCGUCGUUGUUGGGGUUAUCAGUUAUUGGGGUUAUCAGUUAUCGGAGGUCACAGUUCUUGGAGUUAUCAGUUAUUGGGGUUGUGGUUAUGGGGUUUAUUGAUUCGUUUUUGGGGGCGGCAUCGCAGUCGUUGAGGUUACCAAUUGUUGGGGUUCUCUCUAAAGAAGGGGUGUGUGGCCCUCGAAGAAAGCAGCCAAAACGUGGUGCUGUCCCCCCAAAACAGCCCUAAGAUGUGCGGCCGCAGAGCGACCCCAAAGCGUCCCCCCAAAAAGGGACCUCGUGGUCAAUCGGCCCCACAGGGACGGACGGCCCGGAAGGGAGGAGUGGGGUUGGAGGCCCCGCGUCCCUACUAAUAUGGGAUGCCGAAAAGUCCGAGUGUGUGCAUUAAUAGGGCGGGAGGUUUCGGUAGGUGGCAGUGUGACCCCACAGCCGCUGCUGAACCCCACAACUGCCCGGAAAUGGGGGGAAUUCCCGUAAAUUAUGGGGCUGCUGAGCAUCCCGUUGCUCCGUGUUGAUCACUUGGGGGGCGCCGAGCUCUAUUGGGGUCGUAGUGAUUGAGGGUAUCAGUUAUUGGGGGUAUUGCUUUUUUUGGGGUCACGGUCAUUGGGAGUAUCGGUUAUUGGGAGCAUUGGUUAUUGGGGUCGUGGGUUUUGGGGUUCCAGUGAUUGGGGUCGUGAUUAUUGAGGGUAUUAUCAUGAUUAUUGGGGUGUUAUCAGUUAUUGGGGUCAUGGUUGUUGGGGGUAUUAUUUUUGGGGGGUUAUUGGGGUAUUGGUGGGGGUAUCAGUUAUUGGAGUCACAGAUAUUGGGGGAUUGGUUAUUGGGGUCAUGGCUUGGGGUGGGUCAUGGUGAUUAGGGGUAUUUAGUGGUUAUUGGGGUCAUGGUGAUUGGGGUCAUGGUUAUUGGGGGUAUUGGUUAUUGGAGUCACAGAUAUUGGGGGGCAUAGGUUAUUGGGGUCACAGUUGUUGGAGAGAUGGUUUUGGGGGGGUUAUUGGUUAUUGGGGGUUUUGUUAUUGGGGUUUUGUUAUUGGGAUCAUAGCUAUUGAGGGUAUUGUUUUGGGGGGUUGUCAGUUAUUGGGGUCACGGUUAUUGGGGGUAUCAGAGUGACAGAUACUGGGGGGCAUAGGUUAUUGGGGUCACAGUUAUUGGAGUGAUGGUUUUGGGGGGUAUCGGUGAUUGGGGUCAUGGUUAUUGAGGGUUUUGUUAUUGGGGUUGUGGUCAUUGGGGCUAUUGGUUAUUGGGGUCACGGUUACCGGGGAUAUCAGUUAUCAGAGUCACAGAUUUUGGGGGCAUUGGUUAUUGGGGUCGCAGCGGAGGCUUGGUUUUGGGGAGUCAUAGCGAUUUGGGGUAUCCAUUUUUGGGGUCGUGGUGAUUGGGUUAUUGGGGGGGGGUUAUUGAGGUCAUGGUUUGGGGGGUAUCCGUUAAUGGAGUCACAGAUAUUUGGGGGUGUAGGUUGUUGGGGUACAGGUUACUGGGGUCACAGUCAUCGGAGGCAUGGUUUGGGGGGUCAUAGUGAUUGGGGUAUCGGUUAUCGGGGUGACGGGGCGUACUGUUUUUGGGGGGGUUGUUGGAGUCACAGGUAUUGAGGCUACGGGUUACUGGGGUCGUAGUUAUCGAUGGUACGGUUUUGGGGCGAUGGUGGUUUUGGGAUGACGGUUAACGGGGUCACGGUUGUUGGAGGUGUUGGUUUGGGGGUUCAAAGAGAUGGUAGGUUGCGGUGGUUGGUUUGGGGGGGUCAUGGUUAUGGGGAAUUGGCUUUUGGGGACACGUGCAUCCCCACCCCGCCCCGCCGGGCUCUGACGUAUCCCAUUAAUCACGGGACUGGAAAAUCACCCGCUGUCUCCGAUUUCCCUCUCCGGGAAGGUCGGGGGGAAGGGCAGCGCCGGGGCUGUGGGGCGGCCCUAUUCCGAUGAGCGCAAUCUCCUGGCGCGGCCCCAAGUGUCACAUGGGGCCGUUGGAGGAGCUCCAUCCCAAUGGGGCCGGGUGGAUCCUGAGUGAUCCUACAGGCGUCGAUCCGAAGGACCCGGCUCCCUUUUUCCCUGACCUGGCACCCACCCCAUUGAGUGGCAUCCCCGUACGGUCCUCUGCUUUGGGGUGGGGGCAGACCCUAUAAAGCAUUGCGGGGGGGAAUUGUGAGCUGUGUGUCAAACGAAAUCCCAUUAGCGAACCCCAAAGCCUUCCGUGAGACCCUCCCCGUGCUGCGGUUCCCUCCUUCACCUUCUGCUGGUGGUGCCGACCCCAUAGGAAUCGCCCCCAGAGAUGCCCCACUUUGGGGACCGGCCAUAUAGAUCCUAAAUAGAUAGAUAUGUGUGGGUUUGGCACGCUGGCCCAGCAGGAGCCCCCCACAUCUAUGGGGCGGAUUCAUCCCUCGUUCCCCAUCGGGAUGUGACCUAAUGGGGAUGCUCCCAUCCCGGCUUUGGGAUGGGGGGCAAUUAUGUGUGUAAUAGGGCAGAAACGAGAACUUUGCCCGCUGUGCAGGUGGAGCUUGAAAGCCCUCAUUCUGCUAUUAGGGUCAUAAAGCUCUCUCCGGUGCCAUAAAUCCUUAUCUUGGUGGAGGGGGACGGAUAGUUCCGGAAACCCAAAGGACAUUCACACCCCAAACCCCACACUGAUGUCUUCCCCCAAUGUCUUCCACAUUGGGGAGUGGUGUGGCCGGGCAGCGGGGUGCGUUUCCCCUACAGGAGCAGUAGGGUCGUUUGGAGUUAGUGGGAUAAGGGCUCUGCUCCGGGUCUGGGGGGUAUUAUAGGGGAUUUCUGUAGGGCAACAAGCCAUGCUGCCAUUGGGCUGACGGCGGCGGUGGGCUGCGUGCAUUGGAUGUAUGGGAUGGGGAUGAGGACAGGGAUGGGGACGAGGUGGGAUGGGAGGGACAGAGAUUUGGGAAUGGGUGGGGUGGGAAUGAGAAUGGGGAUGGGAUAGGAUGGGGACAGGAAUGGGUAUGGGGUGAGAAUGGGAUGGGAAUGAGAUUUGGGUUGGGAUGGGAUGGAGUGGGCAUGCAGUGAGAGUGGGAUGGGGAUGGCAUAGGAUGAGGAUAGCGACCGGGAUGGGAAUGGGAUAGGAAUGGGAUGGAAUGGGAUGGGGAUGCGAUUUGGGAUGAGGAUAGGAUGGAAUGGGCAUGCAAUGAGGAUGAGAGGGGGAUGGGAUGGGGAUGAGGAUAGCAACAGGGAUAGGGACAGAGACAGGGAUGAAGAUGGAUGGGGAUGAGGAUUAGGGCGGGGAGGGGAAUGAGUAUGGGAUGGUAUGGGGGCAGGAAUGGGGAUGGGAUGGAAGUGGGAUAGGGAUGGGGAUGGGUGAGGAUAGAGAUGAGGAUGGGGACAGGAAUGGGGAUGGAGAUGGGAUAGGAUGGGAAUGAGGAUGGAGAUGGGGUGAAGAUGAAGAUGGGCUAGGAUGGGAUGAGGGUGGGGAUGGGGAUGGAGAUGAGAUAGGAUGGGAUGGGGAUGGGGUGAAGAUGGAGAUGGGACGGGAUGGGAAUGAGGACAGGGAUGGGGAUGGAGAUGAGAUAGGAUGGGAAUGAGGGUGGGGAUGGGGUUAAGAUGGAGAUGGGACAGGAUGGAAAUGAGGGUGGGGUGAAGAUGGAGAUGGGAUAGGAUGGGAAUAGGGGCAGGGACGGGGAUGGGAUGGAGAUGGGAUGGGAAUGGGAUAAAGAUGGAGAUGGGAUAGGAUGGGAAUGGGGAUGGGGUGAAGAUGGAGAUGGGAUGGGAAUGGGAUAAAGAUGGAGAUGGGAUAGGAUGGGAAUGGGGAUGGGGUGAAGAUGGAGAUGGGAUAGGAUGGAAAUGAGGAUGGAAAUGGGAUAGGAUGGAAAUGAGGGUGGGGAUGGGGUGAAGAUGGAGAUGGGAUGGGAAUGAGGGUGGGGUGAAGAUGGAGAUGGGAUGGGAAUGAGGGCAGGGAUGGGGACGGAGAUGGGAAGGAGGGCAGGAACAGAGAGGGGAUGCGGACAGCGAUGGGGAUGGAUGGGAAUGGGGAGGGGAUGGGCUCAGAUGGGUCCAUCUCCGCACCCGGCCGAGGGAAGGCGCCGCGCUCGGAGCGGACCCCGGACUGAGCGCAGGGCUGAAG